AUACACUGUAGUACCUAUAGAUUCAUUCAAAGACUUCUCAGUAUUUGCAGAUUUUAAUGCCGGAGUUCCAAGAGUCAGAACUUGGGUACUCACCUGGUGGUGUUUCUGCAUCUCAUCCCAUCACCAGGAUAUCCCAUUUUUCCUUCCCAGUCUGUAAGGGUGGCAUCGUUGCAUCGCGACAACUCUGAACUCGUCUCCCCGGGAUUUUUCUGGAUAUUGUCAAGUCACAGAGAAGUACAGGUUGGUCAAGGGCCCAUACUAACCCAACUCAGUGUUCACUCAGUGCUGAGGAAGAAGCAUAAUUUAUUUUUUUCCCUUAACCUCGGUACCAACCUUUGAUAAGAUUUAUGAAAACUUACAUUUUGGUCUGUGCAUUCUCCAGUUCUCCAGAAACACAAUAGGAGAGCAGGAUUAGCCUGUAGCUACACACACACACAGCGCAGUUAGGCUCAACACUUGUUAAAUAAGAGACCAACUCAACGGGGAAAUACUUGGAAGCAUCUCAGUAGUUAUAAUGGAGCAGGAUGAGAGAAAACAAGAUCACUAAUGAGAACACUAUGUCCCUUUAGUGCAAGUAGAAUAGGGUUGUUCGCCUCCCAAGGCAGCAAUUUUUGAAGUCGUGCCCUCUAUAGAACAGCUUUAAUUCUGUUUAAGCCUGAUUUCUCCUACACCAACAUUUACGAGCUUUCUGCUCAGAGUGGAUGCAUAUACCACACCGUGUCUCUGUGUUCCUGCAUGGGAUAUUAACAGCACCAAGAGGGAGAGGGAGAGUGAAAGACUGAGCAGCUCAGGUUGAAAACUGAUGAGCUAAUCAUACAGCUUUGCACAAGAGCAAGACAAGGACUCCUGUCUGUAAGCAGCACUGCUGGAGGACGCAGUCCUUGUGAUUCCAGCAGGCAGUGGCGGCAUGAGCAAGCAUGCAGCCAUCUGGAAGGGGAAGCUACGAAGAAGAGAAAGGAAAAGGGACUUUCUGCUGGAAAUCACUGAAGCCUCCUGGAUUUUGCUUUCUCAAGGUCUACCAGACAAAACCUCAACACGCUUGGAAUAAUUUCCACAAAGGGGCUAUAGUCAAGGGGCCACCAGAACCACCCUAGGAAUAAAGUGACAGGGAUCUUGCAGUUAUCUCAUCUGGCCUCUGCACUGCUGUACCUGAGAGGAGACUUGUCACAGCUCAGAUUUGCCCAAGAAAGCCUCUGUGCAAGAACAUGGCACAGCUGCUGGUGAAACUCAACCUAGAGUUGGAACCAAGAGACUGAUUUGAAGGUUUGCUUAUGAGUAUGGAUGAAGUCUGAGUGCAGGCUGAAAACCAAAAGGCACUAAGCAAUCAUGUUGUACUGUACAUGUGAAAUAGCACCCUACCAUAAGACUGUGAUAUUGAGCAGAACCUGCAUUUUAGCUUGACAGCACCUCGAUAAAAAUUACUUUGCCCUUUAUUUACUCAGCUGUUCGUACCAGCUUGCCUCAUGAUUUCACAGAGAUUAGUUAGUUCUUGGACACUGCUGUAAUAAAAGUUUU
rnacentral:lncRNA from 7 species